rnacentral:lncRNA from 1 species
ACUGCUAAAAUGAAGAUAUUGAUCUUGUUAUAUGAAACUAAUCAGUAUUACAUGAUUUUUUGGUGCAUGUGCAUGUCCGAAACAUCCUGAAAAGAAAACAUAGUUGAACUAAAUAUAAUAGUUUUAAUAAUCUGAUGGGGGAAAGAGAAAAAUGAAUGUAUACUGAUCCAUUUAUUAAUGAUUGUUUAUGUAUGGAAAUAGAGAAUUGAAAGUAGGUUCAAACUAUUUGGGCACACCUUUGUUUAUCACCAUUACUUGAAAUUUUUUCAAAAUGUAUUGAAAUGUAUCUUUUCCCCU